AGCUUUGCGCAGUGGCAGUAUCGUAGUCAAUGAGGUUUAUCCGAGGCGCGAUUAUUGCUAAUUAAAAAUGGCUUAAGUACUUUCUAAAGUUUCUCUAAUACCAGA
rnacentral:snRNA from 1 species